rnacentral:rRNA from 1 species
GGGGUGCUCGAGUGGCGAACGGGUGAGUAACACGUGAGUAACCUGCCCUUGACUUUGGGAUAACUUCAGGAAACUGGGGCUAAUACCGGAUAGGAGCUCCUGCUGCAUGGUGGGGGUUGGAAAGUUUCGGCGGUUGGGGAUGGACUCGCGGCUUAUCAGCUUGUUGGUGGGGUAGUGGCUUACCAAGGCUUGACGGGUAGCCGGCCUGAGAGGGUGACCGGCCACAUUGGGACUGAGAUACGGCCCAG